GUUCAAUCCCUGGUACCACAAAACCCAACCAAACCGAACCAAACCACCAGCUAGAGUUACAGAAAAAUUGAAAAGAUGAAUCCUUAUACCUUCUUUCCCCCCACCAAUAUUUUACAUUGAUCAGCUACAUCUGUGACAAUCGCUGAACCAGUACUGAUGCGGUAACCAAAGCCACAGUUUAUUCAGAUUUCUUUGUUUCAGCCUAUUUCCCUUUUCUGUCCCAGGGGCCCGUCCAGGAGGCACCCUCCAAUGAUCUGUCACGACAUUUCACGCUCCUCUUGUCCCUGGCAGUGUUUCCAACUUCCCUUGUUCGCGAUGACCUUGACAGUCCCGAGGAGCCUGGUCAGGAGCUGCACUCUGUGUGGGGCUUGGUGUGAGGAGCUCAGCGGUAAAGUGCCACUAUCCUCACGGCUCAUCCAGGGGACGUGCUGUCAGUUGGAGUGUGGUCGUGGAUGCUGACCCAGGGCACCUGGUCAAGAUGCUGUGCUUGGAAAGAAGUCACUGCGGCUGCACUCACCUUGGGAUCCGUCCACUCCUGUCCUCCGCUGAGGGUGGGGUCCCUCCCUGAACUAUUUGGAAUUCUUCUGUUCUUCCCUAUCCAUCUAUCCAUCCAUCCACCCACCCACACAU